rnacentral:rRNA from 1 species
UACGUAGGUGGCAAGCGUUGUCCGGAUUUAUUGGGUUUAAAGGGUGCGUAGGCGGCCUUAUAAGUCAGUGCUGAAAUAUCCCGGCUUAACCGGGAGGGUGGCAUUGAAACUGUAGGGCUUGAGUGUAGUCGAGGUAGGCGGAAUUGACGGUGUAGCGGUGAAAUGCUUAGAUAUCGUCAAGAACACCGAUAGUGUAGACAGCGUACUAGGCUACAACUGACGCUGAGGCACGAAAGUGUGGGGAUCAAACAGG